rnacentral:lncRNA from 1 species
GUCUGAGGAAAUGAUGUUCAUAACAUCUUAUCAGCUUCGAGGUUUUACAGUAUAUUAUCUCAUUUAAUCUUCUCAUUAGACCAGAGAGGUAGGUAAUCCCCAUCACAUUUUACAGAGGAGGAAGUAAAGUUCUAGCAAAAUUGAGUAACCAGCCCAAGGUUGCAAGGGUCAGCAGGUUGCGGAAAUAGGACUCAGACACGAGUCUACACUCAACCACAAGACUGUCUCUAUGUCUUAAUGUAGUCUGUCUAUCUCCCCAUCCCCCUCUCUGUCUUCUGGUUCUCUUUUAAAUGGGGUUUUACUCUUUCUACUUUGUCUUGGUCUACAGGGAGUCCUAGACUUACAUGUUGCAGAGGAUGCGUUUGGAGUCCACCUACUAUAAACUCUCCUAAAAGAGAUUAGGCUUAGUUGGAGACUUCAUAUGAGAGCAGGAAAUAAAAUUAAAAUUCAGCUCUUGCUUCUGCCCUACAGUAUCCUACUUCUGAAGGACCAAGGCUCUUCAGUGAAGUGGAGAAAGACAAGAAUGUGUACACUAAGAUGUUCUGGGAGCCCAGGAGCUGAGGGACAGCCCUAGCUUGGAGGUGAUGAGAGGUUCAGAAGUCUGCAGCAGGAGGGACAUCCACAGAUGAAGUUCCGUCAUGGAAUCACCAGAUGGGUGCCUAGCCCAGCUGUCAUCUGAAAGGCUUCAUCCACAGCUGAUGGGAGCAGAUGCAGAGACCCACAGCCAAAGAUUAGACGGAGCUUGGAGAACUCCACAGAAGAGGACGAGGAAGGAUUGUAGGAGCCAGUGGAGUCAACAACAGGAGAACACGGCCCACAGAGUCAACUAAGCAGGGCCCAUGGGGGCUCACAGAGGCUGAAGCAGCAAUCACAGAGCCUGUAUAGGUCUUCCCCAGGCCCUCGGCAUAUAUGUUAUGGUUGUAUUGUAGCUUGGUGUUUUUGUGGGACUCCUUAGAGUGGGAGUUGGGGUAUCUCUGAUGCUUUUGUCUGUGCUUGGGACCCUUUUCCUCUUCCUGGGUUGCCUUGUGCCUAGUCUUACUGCAUCUUGUUAUGCCAUGUGGGUUGAUUUCCCUGGAAGGCCUGCUUUUUUUCUGAAGGGAAACGGAGGAGCAGUGACUCUGGGGGAGAAAGGAGGUGGAGAGGGA